rnacentral:rRNA from 1 species
GACGAACGCUGGCGGCGUGCUUAACACAUGCAAGUCGAGCGGUAAGGCCCUUUUGGGGGUACACGAGCGGCGAACGGGUGAGUAACACGUGGGUGACCUGCCCUCAGCUCUGGGAUAAGCCUGGGAAACUGGGUCUAAUACUGGAUAUGACCUUUCCUCGCAUGGGGUUGGGUGGAAAGUUUUUCGGCUGGGGAUGGGCCCGCGGCCUAUCAGCUUGUUGGUGGGGUGAUGGCCUACCAAGGCGACGACGGGUAGCCGGCCUGAGAGGGCGACCGGCCACACUGGGACUGAGACACGGCCCAGACUCCUACGGGAGGCAGCAGUGGGGAAGUAUUGCGCAAUGGGCGGAAGCCUGACGCAGCGACGCCGCGUGGGGA